UCAAACUUGGUCAUUUAGAGGAAGUAAAAGUCGUAACAAGGUUUCCGUAGGUGAACCUGCGGAAGGAUCAUUACAAAUCCAUCACGUCUUCUUACCCAAGACACCGUUGAACUGUUUGGUGCGCAUGUGUGGGUGCGCGCGCGUGGUGGUGGUGAGAUGCGCUCGUCGCGUCUUGCUGCCGCUCGUGCGUGCCGUGCUCCUCCGUGCCACCGCCCCCUUUACACAACCUAGCGUGACCUUUGUUGCAUUUGUAUUUGUGUUAUCACACACAUGAAAACACACACACAACUUAUAACAAUGGAUCUCUAGGCUCUUGCAUCGAUGAAGAACGCAGC
rnacentral:misc_RNA from 1 species